GUUGUUGUGGUCGGAGUGAGCGCAUGCGUGUUAGGGGAGAGGUGGAGCUAUGUCGUCAUCGUUUCAGAAGAAUCUCGUGUAAACACAGAAACGUGUGGUCGUGGUUUGUCCGUGAUAUCAAGGGAGCCGGGUUCAGAUGUUCUGGUUCCGACCGGCCGCGUCGUGUGGACGAGGCCUCAGUGAGCGGAUGUUCCGAAGCCAGAUGAUACAGGUCUGCGCUCGGAGGCCGGUUUGGUCCGAAUGACUACCCGUAGACCACGUGACUGUUGUUGUCACACGCCGCGCCGCUGCUGCACGCGCAUGCUGGACGCUCCGAAGCUAACGGACAAUAACACGCGCUGUGGACGGACCUGGAGCCUCGCGGGUCACAGUCCACUGUGGGAGACAUGUGCUUCUCCACGGGGGACUCGGCGCUGACGCUGGCGGUGCCGCCUGUAGAAGCAGAAGCUACCGGGAGCUAGCAUUAGCGGCUAUGCGGCUAACUGGAUCCGCCGGGUCCACAAACACCCGCCCGCUAAGGAACGGGUCCACGGCGUGAUACGGAGCAGAGCGUGUUGUGUUCGUGCUGGACUCCACAGAACCAGGUUGUGGGAGUGUGGAGAAAACGGCAGGAGACGCGUCGGGGGUCGGUCCAGAGGACCAGCUUUCCAGCCGGGCUCGCGGAACAGCAGGAGACACGAGGAGGCGAGAAGAGGACACGAUGAGCCCGGCGGGGCUCAGGAGGACCUCUGACAUCAGGAGGCAGCAGCGGUGGCUGAAGAAAAGCAGAAGGCAGUGCACAGAUGUGACAGAAGGGGCGUCACAGUGGGGACGUCCAGAGAGCACAGCGGAUGGAUCCGAGGUCACGCCCGUCGAGGAGGAGAGGAGGGGCCAGGAGGAGCACGGCAGAGGUCAGGAGGAGGUGCUGCCAUGGGGAGGUGAAAGCAUAGAGCAGAUGAAGCCAGGCUACUUGUGUGUAUUGUAGAGUCUGGGUCAGAGUGUGUGUUGAGUGUGGAGGUUGUGUGUGCGUGUGUGUGUGUGUGUGUGUGUGUGCAUGUGUCACUUGAGUGAGUGUGUGCUGGUUAGGAAGUGUGUUUGUUAGAGCUGUGUAGGCAGUAGUUGUAAUGUGUGUGUGUGUGUGAUUGUGUAGGCAACAUGUUAGUAGUCAGCACCACCACAGGUUUGUUGUUGUUGUUGAAACAUGUGUACAGUGUAGUGCCUUUACAUGUG
rnacentral:lncRNA from 1 species